GCUGACAGCAUCCCGUCGUCCUCACGCCGCUGCUGCUCUCCACACAUUUCCACAAGUAUUGGCUCCAACCCUUUCCAACAUCUGGAGAGGAGCGCCGUUUCGUGGGAGGCUUCCGUCUUAAGCGGCCAAACUGAUUCUAAAAGAUUUACUUCAAAGAGACUUUCUGUAUCUUUCACAGCAUGAC